rnacentral:rRNA from 1 species
GAUGAACGCUAGCUACAGGCUUAACACAUGCAAGUCGAGGGGAAACGAUAUUGGAAGCUUGCUUCCGAUAGGCGUCGACCGGCGCACGGGUGAGUAACGCGUAUCCAACCUGCCCAUCACUUGGGGAUAACCUUGCGAAAGUAAGACUAAUACCCAAUGAUAUCUCUAGAAGACAUCUGAAGGAGAUUAAAGAUUUAUCGGUGAUGGAUGGGGAUGCGUCUGAUUAGCUUGUUGGCGGGGUAACGGCCCACCAAGGCGACGAUCAGUAGGGGUUCUGAGAGGAAGGUCCCCCACAUUGGAACUGAGACACGGUCCAAACUCCUACGGGAGGCAGCAGUGAGGAAUAUUGGUCAAUGGGCGAGAGCCUGAACCAGCCAAGUAGCGUGCAGGAUGACGGCCCUAUGGGUUGUAAACUGCUUUUAUAAGGGAAUAAAGUGAGUCUCGUGAGACUUUUUGCAUGUACCUUAUGAAUAAGGACCGGCUAAUUCCGUGCCAGCCGCCGCGGUAA